rnacentral:tRNA from 1 species
GCAACUGAUUCGUAAUCAGUAGGUCGGCGGUUCGAGUCCGCCCGGAAGCUCCA